GAGAUCGGGAUAACACCUGGAAACAGAUGCUAAUACCGGAUAACAACAGAUGAUGCCUAUCUAACUGUUUAAAAGAUGGUUCUGCUAUCACUCUUGGAUGGACCUGCGGUGCAUUAGCUAGUUGGUAGGGUAACGGCCUACCAAGGCGAUGAUGCAUAGCCGAGUUGAGAGACUGAUCGGCCACAUUGGGACUGAGACACGGCCCAAACUCCUACGGGAGGCAGCAGAC
rnacentral:rRNA from 1 species